rnacentral:rRNA from 1 species
UACAGAGGGUGCGAGCGUUAAUCGGAAUUACUGGGCGUAAAGCGCACGUAGGUGGCGACGUAAGUCGGGUGUGAAAGCCCCGGGCUCAACCUGGGAAUUGCAUUCGAGACUGCAUUGCUGGAGUACGGAAGAGGAGGGCGGAAUUCCCGGUGUAGCGGUGAAAUGCGUAGAUAUUGGGAGGAACAUCAGUGGCGAAGGCGGCCCUCUGGUCCAGUACUGACACUCAAGUACGAAAUCGUGGGGAGCAAACAGG